UACGUAGGGGGCAAGCGUUGUCCGGAAUCAUUGGGCGUAAAGGGCGUGUAGGCGGCUUGCUAAGUCUUGCGUGAAAUCUCGGGGCUCAACCCCGAGCGGUCGUGGGAAACUGGCAGGCUAGAGUGCGGGAGAGGAGAAUGGAAUUCCUGGUGUAGCGGUGAAAUGCGCAGAUAUCAGGAAGAACACCCGUGGCGAAGGCGGUUCUCUGGGCCGAUACUGACGCUGAGGAGCGAAAGCGUGGGGAGCGAACAGG
rnacentral:rRNA from 1 species